GCCGAUGUAGCUCAGUUGGUAGAGCACGGGUUUUGUAAACCUGUGGUCGGGGGUUCGAUUCCUCUCGUCGGCU
rnacentral:tRNA from 1 species